rnacentral:lncRNA from 1 species
UUUGAAUCUGAUUCUAAACUCUCUAAGUGGAAGUAUAUGCUUCCUACCUGAGAGUGAAUCGGGUUCGAAUCUUGCGGGGACCUUCUGUGUCGUUUGAUUCCGUGAUCUUCUAGCUUUGCUUGGUGGUUAUCCUAAGACUUCUAAGCACCCUCGAACAUGGGCAAUUUACAUUGGUGGUUUAUGUGGGUACAAUAGUUGAUGAUAUUUGAUGAUGAUAUUGAUGCAUGCUCACAUAGGAUUGGACGAGACCUUAGUGACAUUGAAAGAUGCAAGACUAGUUAAUUUUUGUUAUGUUUCUUUAUUGUUAAGACAUUGUAACUCAUUUAAUUCAAUAAAACGAAAUUUGUAAAAUCCAUGGUUGUGAAACAAUGAUUUUGUUACAACACUCCCUGACGU